GAUGAACGCUGGCGGCGUGCCUAACACAUGCAAGUCGAGCGGAUGGACGAGACUUUCUCCUCUCUGCAGCUAGGGGCGGAUGGGUGAGUCCUACGUAGCUACCUUACAUAUGAGGAUGAGGUCCGUUAGGGGACCCGGAGACAGCAUAGGAUAAUAUUUUGAAACGGAUGGAUCUAAAGUGCAAGCGGGUCUUGAUGACACUUAUAGAUGGAUCCGCGCUGCAUUAGCUAGUUGGUACGGUAACGGCUUACCAAGGCUACGAUGCAUAGCUGACCUGAGAGGGUGAUCGGCCACACUGGAACUGAGACACGGUCCAGACUCCUACGGGAGGCAGCAGUAGGGAAUCUUCCGCAAUGGGCGAAAGCCUGACGGAGCAACGCCGCGUGAGUGAAGAAGGUCUUCGGAUCGUAAAGCUCUGUUAGUAGGGAAGAACGGAAGUAUAAGUAACCGUGCACGUCUUGACGUUACCAAAACAGAAAGCCACGGCUAACUACGUG
rnacentral:rRNA from 1 species